GACGAACGCUGGCGGCGUGCUUAACACAUGCAAGUCGAACGGAAAGGCCCUGCUUUUGUGGGGUGCUCGAGUGGCGAACGGGUGAGUAACACGUGAGUAACCUGCCCUUGACUUUGGGAUAACUUCAGGAAACUGAGGCUAAUACCGGAUAGGAGCUCCUGCUGCAUGGUGGGGGUUGGAAAGUUUCGGCGGUUGGGGAUGGACUCGCGGCUUAUCAGCUUGUUGGUGGGGUAGUGGCUUACCAAGGCUUUGACGGGUAGCCGGCCUGAGAGGGUGACCGGCCACAUUGGGACUGAGAUACGGCCCAGACUCCUACGGGAGGCAGCAGUGGGGAAUAUUGCACAAUGGGCGGAAGCCUGAUGCAGCAACGCCGCGUGCGGGAUGACGGCCUUCGGGUUGUAAACCGCUUUCGCCUGUGACGAAGCGUGAGUGACGGUAAUGGGUAAAGAAGCACCGGCUAACUACGUGCCAGCAGCCGCGGUGAUACGUAGGGUGCGAGCGUUGUCCGGAUUUAUUGGGCGUAAAGGGCUCGUAGGUGGUUGAUCGCGUCGGAAGUGUAAUCUUGGGGCUUAACCCUGAGCGUGCUUUCGAUACGGGUUGACUUGAGGAAGGUAGGGGAGAAUGGAAUUCCUGGUGGAGCGGUGGAAUGCGCAGAUAUCAGGAGGAACACCAGUGGCGAAGGCGGUUCUCUGGGCCUUUCCUGACGCUGAGGAGCGAAAGCGUGGGGAGCGAACAGGCUUAGAUACCCUGGUAGUCCACGCUGUAAACGGUGGGUACUAGGUGUGGGGUCCAUUCCACGGGUUCCGUGCCGUAGCUAACGCUUUAAGUACCCCGCCUGGGGAGUACGGCCGCAAGGCUAAAACUCAAAGGAAUUGACGGGGCCCCGCACAAGCGGCGGAGCAUGCGGAUUAAUUCGAUGCAACGCGUAGAACCUUACCUGGGUUUGACAUGGAUCGGGAGUGCUCAGAGAUGGGUGUGCCUCUUUUGGGGUCGGUUCACAGGUGGUGUAUGGCUGUCGUCAGCUCGUGUCGUGAGAUGUUGGGUUAAGUCCCGCAACGAGCGCAACCCUUGUUCACUGUUGCCAGCACGUUAUGGUGGGGACUCAGUGGAGACCGCCGGGGUCAACUCGGAGGAAGGUGGGGAUGACGUCAAGUCAUCAUGCCCCUUAUGUCCAGGGCUUCACGCAUGCUACAAUGGCUGGUACAGAGAGUGGCGAGCCUGUGAGGGUGAGCGAAUCUCGGAAAGCCGGUCUCAGUUCGGAUUGGGGUCUGCAACUCGACCUCAUGAAGUCGGAGUCGCUAGUAAUCGCAGAUCAGCAACGCUGCGGUGAAUACGUUCCCGGGGCU
rnacentral:rRNA from 1 species